rnacentral:lncRNA from 1 species
AAAUUCUGGAAUGUCUGCAUUUCAGGAAAUGAACGAUUACUAGAUUGAAGGAAGCUGUUCUAAUUCAGCAGUAACUGCAGAGGUUCUUAAACUUAAGGGUGCAUUAUUAGAAUCACCUCUAGGACUUAUAUAAAUACAGGUUGUUGGGCCCCACCUCUAGAGUUUCUGAUUCAGUAGGUGUGGGGAGGGGCCCCAGAAUUUUCAUUUCUUAAAAAUCCCCAGGUGACAUGGAUGCUGCUGGGCUGGGAUACACAUUUUGAGAACCAUUGAUUUUCUUAAAAAUCCCUAGGUGACAUGGAUGCUGCUGGACUGGGAUACACAUUUUGAGAACCACUGAUUUACUAUGAAUUAUAUUUGGAGCUAAGCUGACUCUCUUGAGAACAAAGCUGCUGAAUGAAGGAAGAGAUGAUAACGCCCUCUUUGGCACCCAGCUCUUUCUGGGAGGCACAUCCUCACCCAGUUGGAAGGGAAUGAAGACUGUCGCAUCUGUCAGACCUCUGGACAUAGCCCUGUGGCACAAAGAGAUGUCUCUUUAGGCAAAAUCAGGCACCAUGUGAAUUUGAUUUCUGUUCCUAG